rnacentral:rRNA from 1 species
GAUGAACGCUGGCGGCGUGCCUAAUACAUGCAAGUCGAGCGAAUGGAUUAAGAGCUUGCUCUUAUGAAGUUAGCGGCGGACGGGUGAGUAACACGUGGGUAACCUGCCCAUAAGACUGGGAUAACUCCGGGAAACCGGGGCUGAUACCGGAUAACAUUUUGAACCGCAUGGUUCGAAAUUGAAAGGCGGCUUCGGCUGUCACUUAUGGAUGGACCCGCGUCGCAUUAGCUAGUUGGUGAGGUAACGGCUCACCAAGGCAACGAUGCGUAGCCGUCCUGAGAGGGUGAUCGGCCACACUGGGACUGAGACACGGCCCAGACUCCUACGGGAGGCAGCAGUAGGGAAUCUUCCGCAAUGGACGAAAGUCUGACGGAGCAGCGCCGCGUGAGUGAUGAAGGCUUUCGGGUCGUAAAACUCUGUUGUUAGGGAAGAACAAGUGCUAGUUGAAUAAGCUGGCACCUUGACGGUACCUAACCAGAAAGCCACGGCUAACUACGUGCCAGCAGCCGCCGCCG